UACGGAAGGGGCAAGCGUUGUUCGGAAUUACUGGGCGUAAAGGGCUCGUAGGCGGCCAACUAAGUCAGACGUGAAAUCCCCAGGCUCAACCUGGGAACUGCGUCUGAUACUGGAUGGCUUGAAUCCGGGAGAGGGAUGCAGAAUUCCAGGUGUAGCGGUGAAAUGCGUAGAUAUCUGGAGGAAUACCGGUGGCGAAGGCGGCAUCCUGGACCGGCAUUGACGCUGAGGAGCGAAAGCCAGGGGAGCAAACGGG
rnacentral:rRNA from 1 species